AGUGAACGCUGGCGGUAGGCCUAACACAUGCAAGUCGAACGGCAGCACAGUAAGAGCUUGCUCUUACGGGUGGCGAGUGGCGGACGGGUGAGGAAUACAUCGGAAUCUACUUUUUCGUGGGGGAUAACGUAGGGAAACUUAAGCUAAUACCGCAUACGACCUACGGGUGAAAGCAGGGGAUCUUCGGACCUUGCGCGAUUGAAUGAGCCGAUGUCGGAUUAGCUAGUUGGCGGGGUAAAGGCCCACCAAGGCGACGAUACGUAGCUGGUCUGAGAGGAUGGUCAGCCACACUGGAACUUGGACACGGACCAUGCUCCUACGGUAGGCAGCAGUGGGGAAUGUGGGACAAUGGGCGCAAGCCUGAUCCAGCCAUACCGCGUGGGUGAAGAAGGCCUUCGGGUUGUAAAGCCCUUUUGUUGGGAAAGAAAAGCAGCAGGUUAAGACCCCGCUGUUCUGACGGUACCCAAAGAAUAAGCACCGGCUAACUUCGUG
rnacentral:rRNA from 1 species